AUGGGCUCCAGCCUCCUCUGCUGUGUUGCCUUUUGUUUCCUGCAGGCAGGUCCAGUGAAUGCUGGUGUCACUCAAGACCCCAAAUUCCAGGUCCUGAGGACAGGACAGAGCAUGACACUGAAAUGUACCCAGGAUCUGAACCAUGAGUAUAUGUGCUGGUACCGACAAGACCUGGGACACGGGCUGAGGCUGAUCCACUACUCAGCUACCACUGACACCACCAGCAAAGGAGAUGGUCCGGAGGGGUACAGUGUCUCUAGACCAAACCUCAAGAACUUCCCUCUCACGGUGGGGUCCGACACCCCCUCCCAGACAUCUGUGUACUUCUGCGCCAGCAGUGACUCCACGGUGCUGCACGGCCACCUCCUCUCUGCACAAAAUCACAGGGGAGGCCCUGCACCCUGGGUCUCAGCAGAGCCCCUUGCAGGCUCCUAG